GCCAUCUUCCUCCUUGUCCCUCUUUCUCGUUGCUGUGGUCUACUGUGGAGGCGUGGAGUGCUGAUUCGCCGUCGCCCGUGAAUCCGUGACCCCCCACCCCCCGCCCCCCCAACGCCCGACCUUUGCCGUCCCGGCCGUGUGCUCGUCCUCAAGCCGUCCCCUCCGCCUGCUUCUCCUGCAGGUCCUGCGGACUGAUCCUAGAUCCUAGCCACACUCUUUCCGAAGCAGUCCCCGUAUCCCCCUCGCGCCAUUUCCGAAUCAUUUCGCCGAAUCUCGGCGUGUCCACCACAUUAACGCCAUGCAUCCACCGGAUCCGACCAUCGGCUUCUACGGCAAUGCGCGCUGAUGCGACCAUAACGGCCUCACGCUCCAAGGAUUCUCACCAGGAUGGUACGACCUGCGUCCUCCGAGGCUAGGGCACGGGUCCAUGUUAAGGACGCACGGCUUUUGUGGCGUCUGCCUGACGUCCCGAAAUGCCUGCGCGGGCCGGGCGCACGGGAGGUGUUCGACAGAUUGGCCAAACGGGACAGCAUGUUCCGCAUGCCGCAAAUUCCCCCCUGGUCUGCGUCGAUGACGGUCAGAUGGGACCCUGUGGUUUGGGUGUCAGUCAUGGAUAACUGAGGGCUGCGACCCGUGUUCAGUGCGAUGCCUGACAAACAUCUACUUGCGUUUCAGGAGGCUGUUGGCGUAAUGCUUGGCACAGGCUGGCAUUUCGGGAGCGACUGUGAGGGAAAACUCACCAUGUUUGGAAGCGAUGCUGCCAGGAUGACACUGCAGUUCCAUCUCUGCCGUAAAUAAGGUCACUGGUGUGAACCCACCUGCAGAAACUCCCUCCCACACCCUUGGAGCAGAAUGGCUGCAACUGCCACAUAAGGCCAUGAAGCACCGUGCGGUAUCAUAGAGACCAAUGAAGAAGCUCGAUAGCUUGGAAUAAGCAAAUUGCACUGCUUCACUAUCUGUUAACUGUGGCAUGAAUCCAUCAAUUAGUUUUGUUUAGAGGUUUAUCCCAUUAUCUCUCCCAGGCUUGUAUGCAACCGAACAAGCAUUUGUCAGUUGUGGACUGGAAGUAGUGAAUUUUCACACGCCAGGUUUCAGCUGACCAUGCUGCAGUUUAUUUACAUCCAGGUAACUUUUCUUUCCUGCAUAUACUCGCAUACUUGUUUCAUUCUGAGAGAGUUUAUUGGAGCAAAUGUAAAACUGCCUUAAAAUAUUACUUUGUAUCACCAUUAGCCUAA